UCACCCCGUGCGGGAGAGUCCUUGGGCAGCCGGCUCAGGGCGCCGAAGGAGCAACCUCCCCGGAACCUCUCAGGCCCACGGACCGUGCGGUGCGG
rnacentral:ncRNA from 2 species